AUUGAACGCUGGCGGCAGGCCUAACACAUGCAAGUCGAACGGUAGCACAGAGAGUUACUCUCGGGUGACGAGUGGCGGACGGGUGAGUAAUGUCUGGGAAACUGCCCGAUGGAGGGGGAUAACUACUGGAAACGGUAGCUAAUACCGCAUAACGUCGCAAGACCAAAGUGGGGGACCUUCGGGCCUCACACCAUCGGAUGUGCCCAGAUGGGAUUAGCUAGUAGGUGGGGUAAUGGCUCACCUAGGCGACGAUCCCUAGCUGGUCUGAGAGGAUGACCAGCCACACUGGAACUGAGACACGGUCCAGACUCCUACGGGAGGCAGCAGUGGGGAAUAUUGCGCAAUGGGCGCAAGCCUGAUGCAGCCAUGCCGCGUGUAUGAAGAAGGCCUUCGGGUUGUAAAGUACUUUCAGCGGGGAGGAAGGCGGUGGAGUUAAUAACUUCACCGAUUGACGUUACCCGCAGAAGAAGCACCGGCUAACUCCGUGCCAGCCGCCGCGGUAA
rnacentral:rRNA from 1 species